AGAAAACUCGAGCUCCAGACACUGGCCUUCUAGACAGUGUCCGUAACAGCUGAGCUAGCCGGGCUCAUUCAUUACUGCUGCCUGAAAUGGAACUAUGACAACCCGGGUACAGACUAGGAAACUGAGGCCGAAAGAUCAAUUAGCAGGUCCAAGCUGGCUGAUAAGAGCGAGAAGGGCACGGGCUACACCAGACUUUCCAGUGCACACUUCCUCUGAUAUUCCUGGCCACGCCCCACUCUGCUGCUAAAACUGCCAUGGGUUUGAGUCCCUGGAAGGUUAAGUUGAAAACAAAAACCGAGAGACCAGACCUGGAGUUUUAAAGCAUCCUACACACAUCCAAGCUAGUCCAACAAUGGCCAGCUGUGAAUGGAAAGUCCAAGAAUCCAGUAGUUGCUCAGUCCCUGAAGCAGGAUGUCUCAGCCGGUCGUCUGUACACCAAGGAACCCCUAAGAAGUAGAAUGGGAGUGCGACAAGGUGAGGGCAAGCAGGCGGACAACCAAAGCUUCCCUCUUCCCUCGUCCUUAUUCAGGCUUCUAGAAGAAGUGGCUCGGAUUAAAGGUGUGUCUUGCCACCUUAAGAUCUGGAUUAAAGGUGUGUGUCUUCACGGGCGGU